rnacentral:rRNA from 1 species
GGAGGGGGAAGAACUAACAGGGAUGCGCUUAGUAACGGCGAGCGAACCGCGCAAAGCCCAACUUGAAAAUCUCCCUUGGAGAAUUGUAGUCUAUAGAAGUACCCUCUGUAACGGGCGCAGCUCAAGUCUCCUGGAAAGGGGCGUCAAAGAGGGUGAGAACCCCGUAAGCUGUUGCUUUGUUACCUCACGAGGUGCUUUCAAAGAGUCGGGUUGCUUGGGAAUGCAGCCCAAAUUUGGUGGUAAAUCCCAUCUAAGGCUAAAUAUUGGCGAGAGACCGAUAGCGAACAAGUACCGUGAGGGAAAGAUGAAAAGAACUUUGAAAAGAGAGUUAAAAAGUGCUUGAAAUUGUUGAGGGGGAAGCGUUUGAAUGCUAGGGUGCGCCUAGGCUUAUGGGUUCUUAACGGAGCUCUGUAUGUGCUAGGUGCUGGCCAGCAGGGGUUAGGCGAGCGGGAUAAACGCUGGGAUUGAUACCCGGUCUAUGCCGCUUGCUUGACCAAGGCGUGAAAACUGCCCUUGUCCUUCGGAAACUGCAUUCUCAAAAUGCUGGCAAAAGGCUUUCAACCGACCCGUCUUGAACACGGGACACCAAAGGGAU